UUCCUCAACCACACUGCUUGUCAGUAGUUGGCUGGGUCAAUAAAGCUGCAGUGGGGAGCCUGAUCCUGCUGCAAUUCAGAGCAGUGCACACGAGGCUUCUGGUCAAAGUGUGUUGGCAUGGAAAUUUGUCAGUGCUCUUCUGGGAUGCUUGUCAUUAUCCUAAUGGCCUUUACAGUAUAGUAAUGGGAAAAAAGUUGAUGGUCUCAAUGUCUGUUUCACUGGUGUACUUCAAAACCAGUUAGUCUUGGCACUAGAGUCAAGUGCAUGCAAUAGACAACCACGCUAUUUUAAAAAUCCUAUACAUUAUACCAGCACCACACAGGUCUACAGUCUUCAAGCACAGAUGCAUGGCUUCAAACAAACAAACAAAAAAAACCCCACUAGAUGUUGUCCUGGAAGUAAAGAGCAGCAGUGUGAAUCUGCUUUUCACAUAUUUUCAACAAGUUAAUAGCUGUUUUAGAUCUUUAAUCUAAAUGAAUAUUUGGACUUAGUUUCUGAACAGUAAAAACCUGCCAGCUAUUUCAAUGCAGGCAAAAACUUAAGCUGUCAACAUAUAAUUCCUGAAACAAGUAGAAUUUCAGGAAUCAAGAAAGAGACAUUUUUUGUUUCCCACACUAAGUCAGCACUUUCUUGUAGAGAUAGUUCAUCUCAUAAUGAUGCGCUCUGUGGAGAGUGCUUCAUAUCAGGGCCGCUAUAUGUGGUGGUGGAACAGCUCCAUGAAGAGAGAUGUAAGCAAUGCUUUUGUGACAAGCAGAGAGUCCGUGGGUCAGAACACUCAUUUGGGUAAUGAGAUAACAUCCCCAUCAAGUCUUAAAUAGGAAUUUCCAACAUUAGAGUCUUAAUAAUCAUGCGAUUGCUAUUAAUUUUUUGUAGUCUAUUUGGUGUUGUCCUGGAUGUGUUAAAUCUUUUCUCACCAAGAUGUUUUCAACAGGUAGAAUGGUCUUGAUGAUAUGAUUCAUUUGACAGCUUUUCCAGAAUCCUUAAAAAAUGAAAAACCCAAUUAACUCUGGGCUGUAUUCCAGUAAUAUAUCACACAUCACCAUUCUAAAUAAAUUUGAUAGACUUUAAGUAUAUGUAAGAGUC
rnacentral:lncRNA from 1 species